rnacentral:RNase_P_RNA from 1 species
ACAGCAAGCCGUCUUAUCGCUGCUCUUUUAGAGGAGAGGAAAGUCCGGGCAACGCAGAGCAUCCUACUUCCUAACGGGAAGGGUCUUUUCCGGCGACAGAAAAGAUACAGCCAGUGCCACAGAAAAUAACCGCCAGCUUGCUGGUAAGGGUGAAAAGGUGCGGUAAGAGCGCACCAGCGGCUGGGCAACCAGUCCGGCUGGGUAAACCUUAGGAGUUGAAAGACCAAAUAGGCUGGCAGCAUCCUGCUUCGGCGGGGUUAAGGGCUGCUCGUCCGAUGUCAGUGGGUAGGUCGAUGGAGCCUGUGCGCGAGUGCAGGCCUAGAUAAAUGAUAAGACGUUGGGUUUCGGCCCAGCGACAGGACCCGGCUUACAGGCUUGUUGUUAAU